rnacentral:rRNA from 1 species
CCUACGGGAGGCAGCAGUGGGGAAUAUUCCACAAUGGGGGAAACCCUGAUGCAGCGACGCCGCGUGAGUGAAGAAGUAUUUCGGUAUUUAAAGCUCUAUCAGCAGGGAAGUAAUAAAGUCCUUCGGACCUUGGUCGGUACUUGACUAAGAAGCACCGGCUAACUACGUGCCAGCAGCCGCGGUAAUACGUAGGGGGCAAGCGUUAUCCGGAUUUACUGGGUGUAAAGGGAGCGUAGACGGCAGCGCAAGUCUGGAGUGAAAUCCCAUGGCUUAACCAUGGAACUGCUUUGGAAACUGUGCGGCUGGAGUGCAGGAGAGGUAGGCGGAAUUCCUGGUGUAGCGGUGAAAUGCGUAGAUAUUAGGAGGAACACCGGUGGCGAAGGCGGCUUACUGGACUGUAACUGACGUUGAGGCUCGAAAGCGUGGGGAGCAAACAGGAUUAGAUACCCUGGUAGUC